rnacentral:lncRNA from 1 species
GUAGGCAGACCAUUCCAUAAAAAUGUAGCUCUAUAGGAGAAAGCUCUACCUCCAGCUGUUUGCUUAGAAAUUCUAGGGACAAUUAGGAGGUUAUGUGUCUUGUGACUGUAGCGUACGUGUAGGUAUGUACGGCAGGACCAAAUCGGAAAGAAAGACGGCCAUUACAAAACCACCCACCAUAAGAAGACCAAGCAGCGUGGAUUGGAGCAUCGGGUUGACGGAUGGACUUGGCAGAAAGAGCGAAGAUUCUGGGAGGACAAGUUACGGGAGCUACGGGAGCCCGAGAGGCAGCCCCCCAAUUUUUUUGGGGGGGGGCACACGAGAAGUUGGCCUGAGUCAGGAUGGAAUACUGAGCCAACUUCCCGUGCUUACAGGAGGC